rnacentral:rRNA from 1 species
UACGUAGGUGGCAAGCGUUGUCCGGAUUUACUGGGCGUAAAGAGCGCGCAGGCGGUCGUUCAAGUCGCGUGUGAAAGCCCCCGGCUCAACUGGGGAGGGUCACGCGAUACUGAUCGACUCGAAGGCAGGAGAGGGUAGUGGAAUUCCCGGUGUAGUGGUGAAAUGCGUAGAUAUCGAGAGGAACACCUGCGGCGAAGGCGGGUUGCUGGGCUGACACUGACGCUGAUGCGCGAAAGCCAGGGGAGCGAACGGG